UACGGGGGGAGCAAGCGUUGUUCGGAUUUACUGGGCGUAAAGGGCGCGUAGGCGGCCACCGCAAGUCAGUUGUGAAAUCUCUGGGCUUAACCCAGAAAGGUCAACUGAUACUGCGGGGCUAGAGUGCAGAAGGGGCAACUGGAAUUCUCGGUGUAGCGGUGAAAUGCGUAGAUAUCGAGAGGAACACCUGCGGCGAAGGCGGGUUGCUGGGCUGACACUGACGUGAGGCGCGAAAAGCUAGGGGAGCGAACGGG
rnacentral:rRNA from 1 species